AAUAGAUACCCUGGUAGUCCACGCCGUAAACGAUGAGUGCUAAGUGUUAGAGGGUUUCCGCCCUUUAGUGCUGCAGCUAACGCAUUAAGCACUCCGCCUGGGGAGUACGGUCGCAAGACUGAAACUCAAAGGAAUUGACGGGGGCCCGCACAAGCGGUGGAGCAUGUGGUUUAAUUCGAAGCAACGCGAAGAACCUUACCAGGUCUUGACAUCCUCUGACAACUCUAGAGAUAGAGCGUUCCCCUUCGGGGGACAGAGUGACAGGUGGUGCAUGGUUGUCGUCAGCUCGUGUCGUGAGAUGUUGGGUUAAGUCCCGCAACGAGCGCAACCCUUGAUCUUAAUUGCCAGCAUUUAGUUGGGCACUCUAAGGUGACUGCCGGUGACAAACCGGAGGAAGGUGGGGAUGACGUCAAAUCAUCAUGCCCCUUAUGACCUGGGCUACACACGUGCUACAAUGGAUGGUACAAAGGGCUGCAAGACCGCGAGGUCAAGCCAAUCCCAUAAAACCAUUCUCAGUUCGGAUUGUAGG
rnacentral:rRNA from 1 species